rnacentral:rRNA from 1 species
UACGAAGGGGGCUAGCGUUGUUCGGAUUUACUGGGCGUAAAGCGCACGUAGGCGGAUCGUUAAGUCGGGGGUGAAAUCCUGGAGCUCAACUCCAGAACUGCCUUCGAUACUGGCGAUCUUGAGUCCGGAAGAGGUGAGUGGAACUCCUAGUGUAGAGGUGGAAUUCGUAGAUAUUAGGAAGAACACCAGUGGCGAAGGCGGCUCACUGGCCCGGUACUGACGCUGAGGAGCGGAAAGCGUGGGGAGCAAACAGG